rnacentral:snRNA from 1 species
AUCGCUUCUUGGCCUUUUGGCUAAGAUCAAGUGUAGGAUGAAAUGUUCUGAAUAUAUCUGUUAAGUCCAUCUGGUCCAGUGUGUCAUUCAAAGACAUUGUUUGCUUGUUGAUUUUUUGAUUAGAUGAUCUGCCAUUGCUGUGAGUGGGGUUUUGAAGUCUCCUACUAUUAUGGUAUUACUA